rnacentral:rRNA from 1 species
UACGUAGGGUGCAAGCGUUAAUCGGAAUUACUGGGCGUAAAGCGUGCGCAGGCGGUUUUGUAAGUCAGAUGUGAAAUCCCCGGGCUUAACCUGGGAACUGCGUUUGAAACUACAAGGCUAGAGUGUGGCAGAGGGGGGUGGAAUUCCACGUGUAGCAGUGAAAUGCGUAGAGAUGUGGAGGAACACCGAUGGCGAAGGCAGCCCCCUGGGUUGACACUGACGCUCAGGCACGAAAGCGUGGGGAGCAAACAGG